UACGUAGGGUGCGAGCGUUAAUCGGAAUUACUGGGCGUAAAGCGUGCGCAGGCGGUUCGUUAAGUCAGGUGUGAAAGCCCCGGGCUCAACCUGGGAACUGCAUUUGAAACUGGCGGGCUUGAGUAUGGCAGAGGGGGGUGGAAUUCCGCGUGUAGCAGUGAAAUGCGUAGAGAUGCGGAGGAACACCGAUGGCGAAGGCAGCCCCCUGGGCCAAUACUGACGCUCAGGCACGAAAGCGUGGGGAGCAAACAGG
rnacentral:rRNA from 1 species